GGGUCCGUAGCUGAGAUGGAUUAGCACCCGACUCUUAAUCGGGGGACGUGGGAUCGUUACCUACCGGGCCUAC
rnacentral:tRNA from 1 species